ensembl:lncRNA
UGUUGGCAAGCAAAGUCAAAUGUUGUAGUCAAGCAAACUUCUAAGACAGCUUUGUUGAUGUUGUCUGGAUAACUGCCCUCUUGUCAGGCUAGUUUCUUCAGUAACAACUGCUCAAUUAUGAUGUUCCAAGCUGUUGAUCUACUUCCGCCAGUAAAAGAACCAUGAAGCUGGAGAAUCUCCACACAAGGCAUUUGCCACCCAAAUACACUCAGGAGAAAGUUGGAUCAACUUUCUGAUCCCGGAAAUCCAGGCGUACUCAGUACUAAAGUCUAUAAAAAUCCAAGUGUGCCUGUUCUGGCACAGCGAGUGGCUGCAUGACAUCUGACUGUGUCCUUUCCAGUUUGUCAAACUAAUAUUAGACAGAAGCUCUGAGGACAAGGCGGCUGAAGGAAAGGGAACAAUUUACUGCCUUCAAAUCCAGAAGAGAUUACUUGCUCUUCCCCCACCAAAUCUGUGAUUACACCAGACUAGACUGACCUUUCAGCAAAGUCUCAAAACAUGGUAUAUGGCGACCCUGUGAUGGAUUGAGAGUUAGAUGUCGUGGAAGAAAAAAGCCAGCGAAGGAAUGAACGAAGCAGGGAAGGGUGGGUGGAGUGGUGAUGUCCUAUAUCAUUUAUCGCUGGGGGCUGAGGAAAAGAGUAAUGACUGAGCGCAUCCCAGUAUCCCUGCUACAUGUUGAAGUGGAGUCUGUGAGGGGACGUCAUAACAGAUACAUCCAUAACAGUAACAACGUUAACCAACCAGCAGCUGCAUAAAAGACCAGGAUUCUCAAACCACAGGCUUCAACAGGAUCUAUGAAAACACACCACGAGAGACCAGAGACAUGAAGAUAUGCCAUUGUUG